rnacentral:rRNA from 1 species
UACGGAGGAUCCGAGCGUUAUCCGGAUUUAUUGGGUUUAAAGGGUGCGCAGGCGGGAGAUUAAGUCGGCGGUGAAAUUUUGCAGCUCAACUGUAAAGGUGCCUUCGAUACUGGUUUCCUUGAGUGUGGAUGAAGUAGGCGGAAUUUGUGGUGUAGCGGUGAAAUGCUUAGAUAUCACGAGGAACUCCGAUUGCGCAGGCAGCUUACUAAACCACUACUGACGCUCAGGCACGAAGGCGUGGGGAUCAAACAGGAUUAGAUACCCCAGUA